CGACCGACUUUCCACACGCGUUCUGAGGGCCCCAACAACUACGCAUAGCUUACAGCUAGUCACUCAAUUCCUGCAUGUUUCUGCCAGUAACAUAUCACCGGAUGAAACAUUGUAUUCGCAUUUAGUAAGAACGCUGGAAACCUUAGAACUGUGUUACUUUCAAUGACCUGCUGCCUCGUCAUUUUGUCAAACUCUCGGGGGAUCUGACUGCCAACCUCACCGGUAAGUGGCACAGCAAUGGAAACAGUGCGUAUCGGCUCCAGAGGCAGAACUGGCUAGUGUCCAGCCAGAGAAGGCCAUCUCAUUUGGCAACAUCUUUUGUAAACUGUUCCGAUAGACUCUCUAGUGGGUUAGGAAACCUACCAGGCUCUUGGGUGGAUUUCCUUUACAGGCUACCGAUACAAAAUGUGACCUGUGAGAGUGUUGAGACACCCUCUCACCCGACAGGCAGGCGCGUAUUGCUCUGUCAUUCGAUACAUCACGCCGCAACAACUCGAUCCUGGGGCCCCUAGUCCGAGGGAGAACGAGUUUCAUCUCUUGCGUAUAGCUUACCUUAUGGCCUGUCUCGUGGCGCUUCGAUAUCUCUGCUACGCAGCAGAGCAUGGUGCCUUACGCGCAAGAGCGCGUCAUUCUUUUUGCUGUCCUGUGAGCUUCCCCUUUGUUUUGCUUCAAUCCCGGGGUUCCCAAUAGUGUCAACAACGGUCAAGGUUUCCAGUGAAAUCAAACGUCAAACUCAUUCCAGCGGCUGGACCCGCCUCCCUUGUAUCGAAAUCAGAAGGUUCUCACGCUCUCUCUUCCUCGACCAUCCCGUCCCACUCUGCGCCACAAAACCCACUGUUUUCACAUGAAAAGGAGACAAAGUGCAGCAAAGAGGUUGGGAAACGAGGGACCCUUGCCGCAAUUCCAAAAAAGACGGAGCUCCUGUCCAAAUCUUGCCCCCCAAGGAGAUACUACCGCCCACGGCCCGGUCCUUGUGAACACUGGGGCACCUAGUCCUCAUCAGCGACACGAACACAUAUUCUUCUAUUGUUUGAACGGCCAGAUGGGGAGGAGAUAGUGUGGUAGACACAAAUUUCCGUGCUGGAUGUCACUGCUUUUCGGUUUUCCAGACCGCGCACAGAUUCUCUUGCCACACUGACACCCGCAGCAAGCAUGCUAACGCAGAAAGUUGUAUUUUUGGCGUGUCUUGUUUCUUUGCCAGAGUGCUGUGGGAUACGAGCCAGAUUGGUUCGAGUUUGAAACUCGUGUCGCACUGUCUCGGAACGUCUGUAUCAGGUGAGCCUUUAAGCUCACCUUCAGAACGCCCUACGCCAAUAAGAACCUUUUCGUCUCUUUCCAAUUUAUCCACAUAUGUGUCUCAUCAUGGCGUUCCAGCAACGUGUGCCAGAACUCUACUGUUCUCGUUCCGGGUCCUCGAGGAUUUCGAGUAGACUCUGGCCUUGUUUUGUCGAGACACCUUCUCUCGAUCGUACCGAGGUGACAAUACCGUUGUAGGGACUUCUGAUCACCGUUUCCAUUUUCAUGGCUUCCAUAACUGCUAACAGCGCGUUCUGCAGAGUCAAGAAGGAAACGAAGCAGAUACGGCUUGGAUGUUUGCUUCUCUUCGUUUGCUCGUACGUGUUUAGGUCUGUGCCGGAGCUUUUAUAAAGUAGGUUGCCGCAUCUUCUUGUGUGCUUUCCGUACCUUCGUAACAUGCUCGCCUUCUUUGACUGCAACUUUAAUAACUGUUCCAUUCAUGGGCGCCCGCACCUCACAAACGUUUCUCUGUUUUCGGGCUCCCUCAGGAUCAUCUCGAUACGUGAAGGACGUUAGAACCUAUAGGACACAGAAGAUGGGUGUCAACUGAGCGUCCUUCAGAAAAGAACCACCUUCUCCAGACCGCUUUCAGCGCCUUUCCAUAAUUCGUUCAUUAUUAUAACUGUGUACGCAAAAGCAGAUUCCAAGAUGUGAUAGAGCAAGAUCAUUACGCAUCGAGGUCGAUUAAACCAGGUGAACGUAUCCAGACAGAUGGUAAUGCGGGUGGGACAAUGCUCUAAAUCGGGUGAUACGCGAUUGUCUAACCUUUCCGAGUGGCAGCUUUGCGCCGAGCAUCCGUCCACCUGAGAGGCUUUGGCCAUCAUGGGGGUCAUCCAUCCUCUCCGCUGAACUGGUUUUCCCCAAGUGUUCAGUUCCAGAGAAAGAGUCCCCGGUCUCCAUGUGGCAUUCUUCAAUCUCACGUUGACUCGCUCCGGAG
rnacentral:lncRNA from 1 species